AUCGCUUCUCGGCCUUUUGGCUAAGAUCAAGUGUAGUAUCUGUUCUUAUCAGUUUAAUAUCUGAUACGUCCCCCAUCCGGGGACUACAUAUUAAAUGGAUGUUUAGAUCACGGAGCUGGAGCCGGGGCUUGCUCCGUCCACUCCAUGCAAAAGUGGGGAAGUCGUGGCCUAAUGGUUAGAGGGUUGGACUCCCA